rnacentral:sRNA from 2 species
AAAAUAACCUGUUAGGUGAGGUUACUAUACAGAGGAACGCUACUGCCCGGAAAUAUCGAAAGAUGCCAACGUGGUUAACAAAAACAUCCGACCUAAGGAGUUUUUAAUGUAGCUGGGUUUCCCCCUAGGCUGUAUUGAGCCAAAACUCAACGAAGAGGUGUGCUU